ensembl:miRNA MIR10388 microRNA mir-10388
CACAACUCUGGGAAGUACCAUUUAGAUAUGCUAUAUUGUGAAUGGUGCUCCAGGGUUGU